GCUAAGGGAUUUCAAAUUCUCUUUUGCAGUCACCCGAUAGAGAUCCAAUUUUGGCUGGCUAGUGACUUUGCGAGCAAACAAGGCCUUUCAAGAGUUAUCAAAAUCGAAAAAAACAUGGGGGGUAGUCGCACAACGCUCCGAAGUAAAUCGUUUUGAAAUCUGAAAAUGGUGCUGACGUUACAUUAUUUUAAGAAGGUAACGACAAGUUGACAAGGAACUGGGGAAGAGGAAGAUGGAGAUGAGUAGUAAAGACUAUUCUUUUACGGUGUUGAUUCCAAUCUUUCAACUAACUCUGCUUAUAGUAUGUGCAAUAACUCUUCUACCCAUGACGAGAUGGAAUUAACAUGCAAUGUAAUCAGAGAAUCCUCUUUCAAGGAAAAGUUUCAACUCAAGGCUUUAUUACUCUCAAUAUUCUUAUAAUUUAAAACAAAUCCCAAUAAUUUUGUCCGCAAUAAAACAUUCCCCGCCUUAUUUACAAGGAGGACAUUAAAUAUUAUUCCCUAGAAUAACAGAUAAAAAAAAGUGACGCAUCUUACUAAUUUCUAGGUCCGUGAUGUAAGUUACAGAACGAACUUUAUUCGCUUAGAUUUGUGCCCCAAGCGUGAAG